GGAUACAGAUCAGUGGUAGAGUGUUUGCCUAGCAUGCAUGAGGUCCUGGGUUCCAUCCCCAGCAUCCU
rnacentral:tRNA from 1 species